AACCUUACCUGGCAGGGGGAAUACCAUGAUCAAGAAGGUGGUUUCCCCAGGGAGAGGCUUGUCCAUUGCACAUUUUGGUUGGGUUGACCCCUGUGAUUUCCUCAAAUGUGGGAAACUCAACUGCAUAAUUGAGGUAGAGACUAUGAUUAAUAUUAAGCUAGCCUG